rnacentral:rRNA from 1 species
AUUGAACGCUGGCGGCAGGCCUAACACAUGCAAGUCGAGCGGAGCGGCGGACGGGUGCGUAAUGCCUAGGAAUCUGCCUGGUAGUGGGGGAUAAGGUACGGAAACGGGCGCUAAUACCGCAUACUAUCAGAUGAGCCUAGGUCGGAUUAGCUUGGUGGUGGGGUAAAGGCCUACCAAGGCGACGAUCCGUAACUGGUCUGAGAGGAUGAUCAGUAACACUGGAACGGAGCUACGGUCCAGACUCCGUCGGUAGGUAUCGGUGGGGAAAAUUGGACAAUUGGCGAAAGCCUGACCCACACAAGCCGCGUGUGGUAAGAAGGUCUUCGGAUUGUAAAGCCCUUUAAGUUGGGAGGCGGUACCAACAGAAUAAGGACCGGCUAACUUCGUGCCAGCAGCCGCGGUAAUUC